CAAGACCGGUGCCAGCCGCCGCGGUAAUACCGGCAGCACGAGUGAUGACCGCUCUUAUUGGGCCUAAAGCGUCCGUAGCUGGCCUUGCAAGUCCAUCGGGAAAUCCGCGCGUUCAACGCGCGGGCGUCCGGUGGAAAAGUGGGGCUUGGGACCGGAAGACCAGAGGGGUACGUCUGGGGUAGGAGUGAAAUCCCGUAAUCCUGGACGGACCACCGGUGGCGAAAGCGCCUCUGGAAGACGGAUCCGACGGUGAGGGACGAAAGCUCGGGUCACGAACCGGAUUAGAUACCCGGGUAGUCCGAGCUGUAAACGAUGUCUGCUAGGUGUGCCACAGGCUACGAGCCUGUGGUGUGCCGCAGGGAAGCCGUGAAGCAGACCGCCUGGGAAGUACGUCCGCAAGGAUGAAACUUAAAGGAAUUGGCGGGGGAGCACUACAACCGGAGGAGCCUGCGGUUUAAUUGGACUCAACGCCGGACAUCUCACCAGCAUCGACAGUAGCUGUGACGGUCAGUGUGAUGAGCUUACUAGAGCUACUGAGAGGAGGUGCAUGGCCGCCGUCAGCUCGUACCGUGAGGCGUCCUGUUAAGUCAGGCAACGAGCGAGACCCACGUCCCUAAUUGCCAGCAACACCCUCGUGGUGGUUGGGUACAUUAGGGAGACUGCCAGUGCCAAACUGGAGGAAGGAAUGGGCAACGGUAGGUCAGUAUGCCCCGAAUGUGCUGGGCGACACGCGGGCUACAAUGGCCGAGACAGUGGGAUGCUAUCCCGAAAGGGAACGCUAAUCUCCGAAACUCGGUCGUAGUUCGGAUUGAGGGCUGAAACUCGCCCUCAUGAAGCUGGAUUCGGUAGUA
rnacentral:rRNA from 1 species